rnacentral:rRNA from 1 species
AUUGAACGCUGGCGGCAGGCUUAACACAUGCAAGUCGAGCGAGCGGCGGACGGGUGAGUAAUGUCUGGGAAACUGCCUGAUGGAGGGGGAUAACUACUGGUAACGGUAGCUAAUACCGCAUACCAUCAGAUGUGCCCAGAUGGGAUUAGCUUGUUGGUGGGGUAACGGCUCACCAAGGCGACGAUCCCUAGCUGGUCUGAGAGGAUGACCAGACACACUGAAACUGGUACACGGUCCAAACUCCUACGGGGGGCAGGAGUGGGGAAUAAUGCACAAAGGGCGCAAGCCUGAUGCAGCCAUGCCGGGUGUAUGAAGAAGGCCUUCGGGUUGUAAAGUACUUUCAGCGGGGAGGCGUUACCCGCAGAAGAAGCACCGGCUAACUCCGUGCCAGCAGCCCGGUAAUAC